rnacentral:lncRNA from 1 species
UGUGACUCCACACUUAGAACCUAAGACCACAGAGCGGGUCCAUGAGAAUCCACUGUGCACACGAUGCAUCUGCUAUGAAGCAAGUGGAGUCCCUACAGAGUUGGGAAAAGCAUAGCACCAGCUGCCCCCUCUGUCCUCAUACCCUGACCCCAGCCAGACUUCUGACCUGACGGCAAACUUCACCCCGACCUGGGCAGGAUCCAGCUGAGUCAGACUGACAUCUCUCCCCCAAACCAAGGCUCUCCCUUUUGGCCUGCUGGAGCAGAAACAGAGAGGAGGAGGAGCAGGCCCAGAUGGACUACAACUUGCAUCACACAGCAAAGGCUGAGCUCCAGGCUGGCAGUUGCUGCCCUGCCCUACCCUACCCGUUGUGCUUCCAAGUAGAACACAGAGCCAUGGUGCAGAGUCGCAGCCUGGGAGAACCUGAGCAGGGCCCACCAUGCCAGAGAAAGCAGAGCCGAGCUACAAAGGAGACUCCCAGACCAGACUUGCUGCCUGGAAGAAUCAGAAGCCAGCCCAGACACCUGGAGAUUUAGAGCAACCGGGGCACCUGGAAAGGACACCCUCCGAUCUGUUGAGCUGCCUGUGCAGUGUGCUCCAGGUCUAUCAGUCUUUGUGAGCUGGGGUGGGCUCUGUUGAUGCAGCUGUCUUUGAGAAACUUCUGCUCCUGUAAGCAACCCCUCACCGACACUUCUGAAAAGUUUUGUCACACAACACUAUCAGCUGUUAGAUAACACUUAAGUAUUCAUCGUCUCACUAUCAUUGCAAAGGUGUAACAAAGAACCCUUGCUUCCUGGAUUCAAAGAAACAACGGUUGUAGAUUCACAGAAUGUUGGUGCCUUAGGAAUUACUGGGCAUCCUACUUUCUUCUCAAGCCUUGAUGUUGAUCCUACAGGAGGGAGGGAGAGCAAGGCCCAGAACUGCUUCUACUCCAAGCACAGCCCAUGCCCACCUCCUUCCUCAACCUGAAGCAAACUUUGAUUCUUUUGGCUGCAUCAGCCCCUUCCCCUCUGCUGAAGUGGGCCACAGAAGCCAUCUGGACCAUGAUGCAAGCCAAGGUUGGAAAAUUUACCACACUUCCUUGAUGGGAACAGUCCCAGCAAAUGUGCCGAUGACUUCACUGAGUGAGCAAGCAGGGACUUCCUUGCGAUCUCAAAUCCAGGACCACAGUGUUCCAGCAGAUGGCACAGCAUCUGUCCCUGACACCUAGUGGUUUUCGGGUUUCCCUCAGUGACUCAGACACCGCCACAGAGGCAAAGGUGCCCAGCUCACGCUUUCUGAGUCAUCCUUCCAACUACAGAACUCUGGGCUCCAGCCAGAUCCAUAGCAUAACAAUUUGCCACUGAAAUAGUUGACAAUUUCCACGCAUUCCAGCUCUGGAAGUGCUGGCUUGCUCUCUGCUAUCCCAUCCGUGCUUUGAAUAGGAGGAGCUAAUCUUGGCUAAUAACAAAUUACUACCUCCACUAAGAUGCUUACUAUUAUGAAUAUGUGUGGUACUGCAUGUGUGUACAUGACAAACCCACGUAUGAAAAAGAACAAACUUAGGAAGAUGAGUUAAGGAUAAGGCUGGCACAUUCCCCUAAUAUCAAAACUCAGAGGAUGUGGCAAAUGAACUGUGAGUUCUAGGACAGCCUAGGAUACACACAUAAUUACAAGACCUCCAGGGCUACAUAGAGACCCUGUCUCAA